ACACGUAGGGGCCUGACGUUGUUCGGAAUCAUUGGGCGUAAAGGGCGCGCAGGCGGCCGUCCAAGUCCGGUGUUAAAUGGUCGGGCUCAACCCGAUCGUGCGCUGGAAACUGGGCGGCUGGAGUCCCGGAGGGGAUGCCGGAAUUCCAGGUGUAGGGGUGAAAUCUGUAGAUAUCUGGAAGAACACCGAUGGCGAAGGCAGGCAUCGGGCCGGAGACUGACGCUGGGGCGCGAAGGCGCGGGGAGCGAACAGGUUUAGAUCCCCUGGUAGUCCGCGCAGUACACGAUGCGCAACAGGUGUCGGGCGGCAGCGCCCGGUACCGGAGCAAACGCGAUGAGUGCGCCGCCUGGGGAGUAUGCCCGCAAGGGUGAAACUCAAAUGAAUUGACGGGG
rnacentral:rRNA from 1 species